UUACUCUGGUUUCUCUUCAAUCCACGCUUAAAUCUUUCGCCUUUUACUAAAGAUUUCCGUGGAGAGGAACAUUAAAUGAGUCUAUAGACUUAUUUUUGUAACCCUACCUCCGUAGGGU
rnacentral:snRNA from 1 species